rnacentral:lncRNA from 1 species
UUUGCUGGAGAGGAGAGUGUGUACUGCCUGGACAGGUCCCAUUCUGGAAAUUCGUCUGGGAUUGAGGGGAAGAAGAGGCCAUUUCAGCCCCAAGUACUGAGACAUGUGUUCAGAGCAUCCAGCGUGUAUGCUCUGGUCCACACCGGUGCCUUGCCUUCCUGGCUUCCCAGGCCCUAUGAGGCGGCGAGCAUUGGAAUCCUCUCCCUGGCACAUGAAACUUUGGGUGUAACUUCCGUUACCUCUGCCCUGCAGCCUUGGGCACCAGCCAGGCACCCAGUAAAGAAAGUGACUCUGCUGGCACACUGGCACACUCAUGCUGGGGCGAACUUCGCAAGAAAGGGCCUGCAGCAGACAGGAAACCACCCUCCUGUGAUGCUGGGGGAAGCCCAGGGAAGAAACGCCUUAUCUGAAGGACCUCCCGCCCCCCCAAUGGCAGAUUGGAAACCUCUCCCGCCUUCUCCCUCUCGCUUCCUCUGUGUCACCACCCCCGGCCCACACUUCCUUCAGGGCUGUGAGAGUAAAACGGCAAUUCCUGUUGAGUGAGGUAUGAGUCAGCUCAGGAGAGUCAGUGGCUGAGUCUUCCUAACCUCCAGGCACGGCUAUUAAAUAUUUAAGUGACACUAUGGUAUUGAUUGUUUCUUCUCUCUCCCCUGGGGAAGAGCAGUUCCUGCCCAGGACACAAAUAAUAGCCAUAUCUUGGAUUUAGACUGGGAGUUCAGAGGCGCUAUUCACAUCUCCCUGGUCCUCACAUUAUCUCCUCAGAGCUUGCUCCCAGAAAUGGGGACAAACCGGGUUGCGCUUGUUUUAGCACCCAGAGAAGUUAGAAGGGAGCGUUGCCACACACCCGGCCGGCUGAGCCUAGGAUCGCGGCGUCCGGGCUCCCUGGGCACUGGCGAUUUGCUCUGCUCACUGCUCCUUCCCCAUGCU